GACGAACGCUGGCGGCGUGCCUAAUACAUGCAAGUUGAGCGAUGAAGCUUGGUGCUUGCUCCAAUUUGAAGAGCAGCGAACGGGUGAGUAACGCGUGGGGAAUCUGCCUUUGAGCGGGGGACAACAUUUGGAAACGAAUGCUAAUACCGCAUAACAACUUUAAACAUAAGUUUUAAGUUUGAAAGAUGCAAUUGCAUCACUCAAAGAUGAUCCCGCGUUGUAUUAGCUAGUUGGUGAGGUAAAGGCCCACCAAGGCGAUGAUACAUAGCCGACCUGAGAGGGGGGUCGGCCACAUUGGGACCGAGACACGGCCCAAACUCCCACGGGAGGCAGCAGUAGGGAAUCUUCGGCAAUGGGCGAAAGUCUGACCGAGCAACGCCGCGGGAGUGAAGAAGGUUUUCGGAUCGUAAAACUCUGUUGGUAGAGAAGAACGUUGGUGAGAGUGGAAAGCUCAUCAAGUGACGGUAACUACCCAGAAAGGGACGGCUAACUACGUG
rnacentral:rRNA from 1 species